rnacentral:rRNA from 1 species
GCUUGCGUUCACUCCCAACCCAUGUGACAUACCUACUGUUGCUUCGGCGGGAUUGCCCCGGGCGCCUCGUGUGCCCCGGAUCAGGCGCCCGCCUAGGAAACUUAAUUCUUGUUUUAUUUUGGAAUCUUCUGAGUAGUUUUUACAAAUAAAUAAAAACUUUCAACAACGGAUCUCUUGGUUCUGGCAUCGAUGAAGAACGCAGCGAAAUGCGAUAAGUAAUGUGAAUUGCAGAAUUCAGUGAAUCAUCGAAUCUUUGAACGCACAUUGCGCCCGCCAGUAUUCUGGCGGGCAUGCCUGUCUGAGCGUCAUUUCAACCCUCAUGCCCCUAGGGCGUGGUGUUGGGGAUCGGCCAAAGCCCGCGAGGGACGGCCGGCCCCUAAAUCUAGUGGCGGACCCGUCGUGGCCUCCUCUGCGAAGUAGUGAUAUUCCGCAUCGGAGAGCGACGAGCCCCUGCCGUUAAACCCCCAACUUUCCAAGGUUGACCUCAGAUCAGGUAGGAAUACCCGCUGAACUUAAGCAUAUCAAUGAGCGGAGGAUGAAC